rnacentral:rRNA from 1 species
CACGGAGGGUGCGAGCGUUGUCCGGAAUCACUGGGCGUAAAGGGCGCGUAGGCGGCUUUUUAAGCGUGCGGUGAAAGCCCGGGGCUCAACCCCGGGUCGGCCGUGCGAACUGGAAAGCUCGAGCCCACUAGAGGCAGGCGGAAUUCCGGGUGUAGCGGUGGAAUGCGUAGAGAUCCGGAAGAACACCGGUGGCGAAGGCGGCCUGCUGGGGUGGUGCUGACGCUGAGGCGCGACAGCGUGGGGAGCAAACAGG